CAGCCGCCGCGGGAAUACGAAGGGGGCUAGCGUUGUUCGGAAUUACUGGGCGUAAAGCGCACGUAGGCGGAUAUUUAAGUCAGGGGUGAAAUCCCGCAGCUCAACUGCGGAACUGCCUUUGAUACUGGGUAUCUUGAGUAUGGAAGAGGUUAGUGGAAUUGCGAGUGUAGGGGUGAAAUUCGUAGAUAUUCGCAGGAACACCAGUGGCGAAAGCGGCUCACUGGACCAUAACUGACGCUGAUGCACGAAAGCUAGGGGAGCAAACAGGAUUAGAUACCCGUGUAGUCCCUGUCUCUUAUAA
rnacentral:rRNA from 1 species